CUAUACAUGCAAGUCGAGCGGACCGACGGGAGCUUGCUCCCUUAGGUCAGCGGCGGACGGGUGAGUAACACGUGGGUAACCUGCCUGUAAGACUGGGAUAACUCCGGGAAACCGGGGCUAAUACCGGAUGCUUGAUUGAACCGCAUGGUUCAAUCAUAAAAGGUGGCUUUUAGCUACCACUUACAGAUGGACCCGCGGCGCAAUAGCUAGUUGGUGAGGUAACGGCUCACCAAGGCGACGAUGCGUAGCCCACCUGAGAGGGUGAUCGGCCACACUGGGACUGAGACACGGCCCAGACUCCUACGGGAGGCAGCAGUAGGGAAUCUUCCGCAAUGGACGAAAGUCUGACGGAGCAACGCCGCGUGAGUGAUGAAGGUUUUCGGAUCGUAAAACUCUGUUGUUAGGGAAGAACAAGUACCGUUCGAAUAGGGCGGUACCUUGACGGUACCUAACCAGAAAGCCACGGCUAACUACGUGCCA
rnacentral:rRNA from 1 species